rnacentral:misc_RNA from 1 species
GAAAUGCGAUAAGUAGUGUGAAUUGCAGAAUUUAGCGAAUCAUCGAAUCUUUGAACGCACAUUGCGCCCUCUGGCAUUCCGGGGGGCAUGCCUGUCCGAGCGUCAUUACGCACCCUCAAGCCCGGCUUGUGUGAUGGGCCCCGGCGUCUCGUUCGCGAGACGGGCCCGAAAGGCAGCGGCGGCGUCGACCCGAUGAGCCCGAGCGUAUGGGGACUUCUGUCACACGUUCGCGGUGCGGACCGGCGCCUGCUUGACUUUUCUGAUUAUCCAGGUUGACCUCGGAUCAGGUAGGGAUACCCGCUGAACUUAAGC